UACAGAGGGGGCAAGCGUUGUUCGGAAUUACUGGGCGUAAAGGGCGCGUAGGCGGCCUGUUAAGUCGAACGUGAAAUCCCCGGGCUCAACCCGGGAACUGCGUCCGAUACUGGCAGGCUUGAAUCCGGGAGAGGGAUGUGGAAUUCCAGGUGUAGCGGUGAAAUGCGUAGAUAUCUGGAGGAACACCGGUGGCGAAGGCGGCAUCCUGGACCGGUAUUGACGCUGAGGCGCGAAAGCGUGGGGAGCGAACAGG
rnacentral:rRNA from 1 species